AUCUCUAGGGUAAUGAGUGAUAGGGAUUAUUUUCGGGAUAUCUCAAGCUCAUUGUUGUCCAAAUUCUUUUUAUCUUGUCAAUAAGUGCAUGUGAAAACGUGAACAAACUAAUCCCCCAGACAAAUAACAACUAGAAGACUGAGACAUACAUCACACAUAAUACCUUACUUUAUAUUAUAACAGUAUAUUUAUAAGCCAUUUCUCUACGGGCCCUCUUUCCUUUUUACAUCACACUACAAAUAUCCACGUAGGCCAGGAGAAUUUCUAUCUCCUCUAGCGUAAUUGCAGCUCCCAAAACUAAUGUGAGACUUGGAACCGGCAUGCCUCAAUGCCAAUCCAAGCCGAGCGAACCUUGACCUCUUCCUAGGGCAUGAAUGUAUUCAAACAUGCAAACAUGAGCAAAUCAUAUAAAAGAAUAUUACAACAUACACAUGGUUUACAUGGGUGAGCACACAACAAAACUUGAUGACGUAGGUUAUCGCCCUAGUCAAGAGUUGGAGAUUUCACUUGCAUACAAAAGCAUAAGGAAAUUGAUUGUCAAACAUGUACACAAACUAAGCCCGAAUGAGAGUGCAACCAAGUCCAAGUAACGUGACUUGCGGCUUGAACCAACAUGCGUCAAUGUCGGUCUAAGGCUGAGAGAGACCUAUCCAUGACCCGGAGUGCGAUUCGAUUUAGGAAUGUAAACACGUGAACAAAUUAAUCAUCAACAUUCAUAAAACUAACCAUGGGUGUAUACACAACUAAACUUGAUGACGUAAGUUAUUGCCAUAACCAAGAGUUAAAGAUUCUACUUACUUGGAUGGACCUCAAAAGCUUUAGGAACGGUUUGGUGAGGGUGGAUGCAUAUGAAGGCUGAGGGAGAGGAAUAGAGGAGAGGCAUGGAAAGAAGGC
rnacentral:lncRNA from 1 species